rnacentral:rRNA from 1 species
GCCUACAGCCAUACCACCCCGAACACACCCAUCUCGUCUGACCUCAGAAGAUAAGCAGGGUUGGGCCUGGUUAGUGCUUGGAUGGGAGAAAUGGCUUGCCAGUCAAAAGUAUUCCAGGUCCUUCUUGCC